rnacentral:lncRNA from 1 species
AUUCCAUGUAUAUAAAAUUCUAAAAAAUGCAGACUAAUCUGUAGUGGCACAAAGCCUCUUCGUGGUUGCCAGGAGAUCAUAGUGAGGGUGGGGAAGGCAGUUUAUCCAGACAAAGGCAGAAACUUUUGUGAGUGAGAUGUGUGUUAAUUAUCUUGCAGUUGGUAAUAAUUUUAUGGCUGUAGAUAUAUGUAAAAUCAUGCUUAAUUAUACACUUGAAUUUUACGGGUUGUCAUUUUUUCCUCAAUGGAGUGUUACACGUGAUAAAUCUUGAUGUAUUCUGAUCAACGUAAAAAGAGAAAUAUCAAACUCUCAAUAUCAGAAGUGAAAGAGGACAUCGUUUAUAGAUCCUACAGAUAUUGAGGCUAAUAAGCUUUAUGCCAAAAAAUGUGGCAACUUAAAGGAAAUGAACCAAUUCCUUAAAAACACACUUUACAAAAAUUGACACAAAAUAAAUAAAACAGUAAAUGGUAGAUAAUCAAAAUGUCUAUUAGAGAAAUUGAAUUUUUAUUGAUUGCUUUGUGGACUUCAAACUAUUUCUUCUCUAUAAUAUAUAAAGUUUUGAUUUUUGCUUCAUUUUUCAGUAAAUUCCCAGACUAUUAAGUUUGUCACAUACAAUCUUCCUGCAAGGUCGCUUAUGUUCAUCAUUGCUCCUAAAGCAUUUUUCGACAGUCUUUAUUAAUUAUAACAUAUUUACCUCUUCUUAGUAUAUUCUAGGGAUUUAUCCUCACAACAACCCUCUAAGUGAUCUAUUGUUUUAUUUUGCAAGUGGAGGUGAGGAUAAAUGUAAAGUGCAGUGAGGAUAAACAUCUCUCAUCGCUGAAGUCAAGUUAUUUUUCUCGGACUCUAGAAAGUAUGUGUUAUAUUCAUAACACAGAAUAGGGAGAUGGUGAUGAGUGUGACUCUGGCUGGCUCCAUGUCUCAGUGCCACCUCUUUCUCGCUGUGUGAUACUGAACACAUCAUAGGCUUCUUGUAUCCUCUCAGGCAGAUUCUUUUGACCAUUCCAUUACUGAUGAAUUCUCUUUGAUUGCUUGAUUAAGGAAUUGUUUACCAGGCGUAUCCUCUGAGGGUUUUUCUAUUCCCUUUGGGUAUUAAUAUACAUUUUGUGGGGAAGUUCAUUGAAGCUAUAUAAAUAUCAAGUUUUUAAUUAGUAAUUUAUUUAAAUCAGUAUGGACUCUGGUUCCUUGUUUUAUUCAGUUGGCUUAAUUCAUUUUCAUCAUGAUUUAUUUCGAUGCCCAUAUUAUCUGAAAUUUAGACAGUAAAAGCCCUUUCUAUUUGAUUUCUAUGUUUCUUUGUCACACCCACAACACUCUUUGAGCGCUUCCUUUCUUUCUGGCAGAAUAAGAUAUUCCAGGACGUCUUCAACUACCUGUGCCUCAGCCCUAAAAUCAAGCAUUUCAUCAAAAAACAAACAAACAAACCCUAGUUCCUUUCCAUGGAAAAUAAUAAAUAAUAUUUAGAAAUUAUUUUUAAGUUACUAUUUUUAAGUUACUGUUGCUCUCAGGGCACAGAAUAUGGAAUAUACACACAGAGAUACAUACACACAAAUUCAUAAACUUACACACACAUCUAAAUCUAUAUUCAUUUUCCAAAGUUAUCUAUGUGUCAAAAGCCACAAGUUCACAUGAAUAUGUCUAUUUCAAUCUAACACCACUAAUUCCUUCUAGCUUUUGCUCCUUCUAUAUUUGUAACUCCUUUCUCCAAAGUGAGAAACCUGAUUUUCAUUAUCCUUAAUAUAUGUACAUAACAUAUUAAUAUAUUUUGUUAAUUUCCUAUGUGUCACCAAUUUCUAUUUCUGCUGCCCCCCCCCCACUUGAUUGCUCUAAAUCCCCCGUCUGGACCCAACAUCUUGUCUGAACACAAUCCUAACAUUUCCAUUACCUUAUCCACUGUUAUUCGAAGAAGAAUCUGUGUGGGCAUGUGUGUGUGUGCACAUAAAUAUACAUAUAUACACAUAUAUAUAUAUACUUAAUUUGAAUUAAUAUGUAGAUUCUACUGCAUUCUAAAAAGGACUUAAAAACAAUGAAAUGAUUUGGGGAGAGUGAUUUAUAUAAACUAAUCUUGGAAAAAAUGCAUCAAAAACAUAUUUUGAGUUGGUUCAUCAUAAACAUGUUCCAAAUAUAGCCAGACAUCUGUCUAAUGUGAAAUCCAUAGGUAACAGAGAAAACAAAAUAAAUAAAACUAUUUAACAUAAUAAUAAAAAAACCAGCAGGAAAGACUUGGCGUAGGGAGAGUCAUGCAAGCCUUAGGAUAUAAGGAUUGUUUCAGAGGACAGAUUUUCCCAGGCGUAAACCUAUAAUGCUUAAGAACAUAUUAAGGCCUUAAGGUGGCCUGAACAUUAGCAAAAGUGGUCUGACAUGCAAGAACGUUGCAAGAGACAUGAGUGGAGGAGAAGGCUAGAGGGAAGCGUGGUGUCCAGAAGGCUGGCAAACUGCUCUGAGUUCUGAACCCAGGUCUAGUUGUGUUGGAACUCAGAUCAUUUUCGGAGGCAUAGUGAAAAGAAGAAAGGUAACAAAAUCUAGGCAAAAAAUUCGUCCUCCUAUUAGCAGACUGAGUAAAGAAAUUGCCAUGAAUCCAUGAAUUGGCAAAGAUAUCCAGCUAUAGACAUAGGGAAAGUGUAUGUGAAGAAAGGAGGAGAGUAUAUUAUAAAUAAGCAGCUUCCUGGGCUCAUCAUAAGAUGACCCAGGCUCCCUGGAUACCCGACUGAAAAGCAGCAUGAUUAGUUCUAAUUCCUGUCUACUUUAGGGGCUGAUGGUCUGAAUAUUCUUUCAGGAUCAGUUAGGAUUGGCUCAGACACUGGGCGGGGCUAUGUCUGUCGUUGAUGGUCUCUUUGAUUUAGACAGGCAAACUGGGAGGCGAGUAAAUGUGACAUGUCCUCAUUCCUUACAGACACAGAACAGAACCGAACCACAGGGAUUUACCUUGCAGAUGAGUUUUGUCCCUGCACCUAAUUUCUCUCUGCUCUUUUUAAUUUUUUUUUUAACUUUUCAACAUCCCUAAUUAUAUAUUUUAUCCUCAUAUUUGAUGAAUUAUGUACAAUAAAUGCUUUCUGUGAUAUCCAAAUCAUGACAAAUUGAAUCUUAGUUAACUUUUUAAAAAAUGAGGAAAUGGCAGAAAAAGCCAUUCUUCAAAAAGAGAAUAAACAUUUCAAAAAUAGAUUUAUUUCAGUCUGACAAGGGAUGUUGGCUAUUUCUUUUUAAAAGCUUCACUGAAAGAUUUAUAACGAAUAUAUUUGAAACACAAGUUGUGGUCACGUGACUGCCUGCCCAAAUGACAGUGGUGUAGAGUGAAUAUUAAUGAUCAGUUUUACUAGGACAGAUAAAACUCACACGACCUUAUGACAGAAAUAUUUACUCUCCCCUUAUAUAUAUGCCAGUGUAAAACAAACUUCCACUGUCAUUUCAGAAUGAAAGGUGAAAUUAAGUAGCUUCACAUUUGUUAGCGGCAAAUUCACAUCCAGUACUUACUUCCAGGCAUUGAUUCAUCUUUUAAAUACUAUUUGAUUAAAUACUAUUUGAUUCAAGUCUUUAAUCACCAAAUUUCCCAGAUCCCUAUUUCCCUUUUGUUCACUAUUUGAGCUUAUAACUCAUGUAAAAUUCUCUUAAAUUAGAUAUAGUUUUCAGCAAAUUUCCUAGAUUCCAAUGAUAAAUUUAUUUUGUCUUGGAUAUAGUCAAUCAGAAGGCAUUCCAGUUUUACCUGGUUUAGUCAGCAUCUUAUAAUCAAAUGUUUUUGUUUUCUUUAACCCAAGGAUGCUGAAUCAUGUCUACUAUUUGGAGACUUAGGUAUUUGUUGCAGGCACAAGAGAGAGAAUCAAAUUUGCAGUCAUACAAAUUUUUUUCUAGUUUACUUUCCCUUCAAAGCUUCUCUCAGAGUCUUUUCCCCUUCAAGUUCUCUGAAUUUUGGAAAUUAACUAUUAAUUGGGAUUUAUAAGUCACAGAAUGAAAGGGUAACUAACAUUUAUUGAAAAUCUACCACAUAGGUGCCAGGCUUUGAGCUCAGCCCUGGAUAGUAAUUCUUAAUGUCUUCACAACACUCUAAAGACAUGAGUAAAAUUAUUUCCAUUUUUACAUAUAAAGAAACUGAUAUAUUUACCUCUGACUUUUAGAAGAAAACACAGAGCGAUUUUCCCCCUAGUGAUGUUGGAUAUGAAAUUUUUUCUUUAAAAAGGCACAAAAGGAGUCUCCCUCAUGGCUCAGCAGGAACAAACUCAACUAGUAUCCAUGAGGAUGAGAGUUUGCUCCCUGGCCUCAUUCAGUGGGUUAAGGAUCCUGCACUGCCAUGAGCUAUGGUGUAGGUUGUAGACAUGGCUCGAUCUGGUGCUGUUCUGGCUGUGGUGAAGGCCAGCAGCUGCAGCUCUGAUUCAGCUCUUAGCCUGGGAACUUGCAUAUGCUUCAUGGGCAGCCCUAAAAAAGCACCCCCCCCAAAAAAAAGAAAAAAAAGCGCAAAAAAGGAGUUCUCUUAUGGUGCAGUGGGUUAAGGAUCUGGUAUCUGGUGUUGUCCCUCCAGCAGCUCAGGUUGCUGUUGUGGCACAGGUUUGAUCCUUGGCCUGGGAACUUACACAUGCCAUGG